AUCAUUUUCCCGUUAUUGCAAUUCGAUUUCAUUUCAUCUGCCUACAUGUUAUAAAAGUAUAGCUCCUCAAUAGUUUCACUGUUCCUCCCUUUUUUGUCCAAGGACUUCUGGCAAGCAGUUUUGGCCUGAGGGUCAUUUCAUGACCAAACAAUCAAGAUGAGAAACCAACUAACCACAUUAAAGUGGGAUUGAGGCUAAAACCAAGUUUUAAAACCUUUAGCCGUUUAAUGUAGCCCUUCACAGUUUAAAUUCUUAAUCUCCUUUUAGUAAUACUUUAUUUAACAGAGUUAUUUCUUAGAAUGAAAUAUGUAAUGAAUGGAAUUUCAAGGGGGAGUAAAAGAGUUUCAUUUAAUUGCUCCACUUAAUGACUAAUUUAUGUUUUAGUCAGAGCACAGCAUGUUGGUGAACAUGGGGAACAAAAAAAUUAGUGAAAUUUUCGGGUGGUUAUUGAGCGUGCCAUAUGGGUGCAAAUUGCCUGGUGUUUCCCAUAUUUCCUGUCUGAUUUGACAGAUUUAUUAUUAUUUUUUAAUCAGUCAUAAAAUCAUAAAGUGGCAAACAAAUAAUCUUAAGACAAAAGAAAUGGUUCAAUGCGUAGAUGAGUUAGAAGAAGAGAGUGUAACAUUUUAAAGACUUUGCUUAUUUCCUUAUUUAUCACUGCUGGGGGAGAGUGACUCUAAAUGUAGGGAGCAGUAAAAUUGGGCACCCUUACCGUCGUCUUUGCUGCUGCUAAAUGUUUUGGAUUCUUUUUUGGAGUCCGAUCAGCGGUGCUGAUGCUCGAUCUCUGCGUCUCUCAUUUAAAAUCCCAUUGAUUGCACCUACAUGUAUAACUACCAGCCCUUCAGUCAGGAUUCAUUAGUUGCAAUUUAAGAAACGAGGAAAACCCGGCGAAAAAUAAAGCAUAAAUCUGAAAUCUGUGUAUGUAGUACUGUAGCUGCAGUUAAUAUACUCAAUCAUUCAAGCAUAUGCUGCUCUGGAGAUCUUCACCAAAUUUACAAAAAAGGCUUGUUGAUUAUUGGUCUGUAGAGUAGAGCAACUUUGGACUGCUAAAUGGGGGGUUAACCUCCAUUUAGCCGAACAAAUAAAAUUGUAGCCCUCCACUGAAUGGCGAUGGGGAUCGAUAAUCUGGUUUGAUAGUUUGAAACCUGGUACUUUUUGGAUUUCGUCUUUGCAGCAGAGAACAAUUUUCUUUUAUGAAACCUAGCAGGUGAAUCAACUUAUUAUAGCCAUCGAUGGAUGAACUGCUCAUGGGGCGAGAGAUGGAAAUUAAAGGCACACAUUCAUGGGUCUUGAAUUGUCUUUAUGUGGAAAUUGUGCCAUGUUGACUGAUGAUGAUUACAUGUUAAAUGGUUAUCCAGCUUAUAGAUAGCUUUUGAAACUCUCUUCCUUUCCAAAUGAAGUGGAAAUUAAGCCAGAUUUUUUUUUUUUUUUU